AGCGUUGUUCGUAAUAACUGAGUGUAUAGAAUAAAUAAACAAGAGUAUUUAAAUAUUGAUAAAUAUUUAAUUGAUAUUAAUAUUAUUUUUUUUUUAAAUGUUAUAUUGUAAUGAUAAAAUAUAAUCACAAUAUAAAAUUUUUUAAUAAAUUAUAAAAUAAUAUUUAAGUAUAAUUAUGAAGGUAUAAGUAGCAAAUAGGAUUAGAUACCCUAGUAGUUUUUACAGUAAACAAUGACCAUAUGUGUAUAUAAAUAAUAUAAGUGGUUUACUUAGGUAGUAUGAUCGCAAGAUUGAAAUUUAACAGAAUUGGCGGGAAUUUAAUUUAACGGUGGAGUAUGUGGUUUAAUUCGAUAAUCCACGAAAAAUCUUACCAGUGUGGUUUUUAUAUUUUUUUUUUUUUAAAAAAAAUAAAUUAAUAUAAUAUGUAGUAUUGCAGGGCUGUCGUCAACUCGGGUUGUGAAAUGUAAAAUUAAGUUUUUUAACGAGGGCAAUCUCUAAAAAUUUUAUGUUUUUAUUAAAAUAAAUAACUACAUUAUUAAUAAAUAGAGCUGAAGUCAAGUCAGUAUGAUCUUAGUAUGCUGGGCUAUACAUGUGCUACAACGAAAAAAACAAAAAAUGUUUUUAAUGUGAAUUGAAAUUAUUUUUUAAAAAUUUUCUAAGUUCGGAUUAUUUUUUGUAAUUUAAAAAUAUGAAGUUGAAAUCGUUAGUAAUUGUAAAUGAGUAUGUUACAGUGAAAAAUAAAAUUAAAUUUUGUACACACUGCCCAUCACGCUCGGAAAAUUAAAUACUUAUUAUUCAAAAAAAUCUUUAUUUAAAUUUUUAUUUUUUUUUUAAAAUAAUAGGGGUUUUUUUUUAUAUAAAAUUUGGGGAUUUGAGUG
rnacentral:rRNA from 1 species